rnacentral:rRNA from 1 species
GCGGAGGAAAAGAAACUAACAAGGAUUCCCUCAGUAACGGCGAGUGAAGCGGGAAGAGCUCAAAUUUAAAAUCUGGUUUGCUUGCAAGCCCGAGUUGUAGUCUGAAGAAACGUUUUCCAUAAGCACUGAGGCAAAAGUCCCUUGGAACAGGGCAUCAUAGAGGGUGAGAAUCCCGUCCAUGGUCUCAAGUUGUUUAUUUUGUGAUACGUUUUCAAAGAGUCAGGUUGUUUGGGAAUGCAGCCUAAAAUGGGUGGUAAAUUUCAUCUAAAGCUAAAUAUUGGCGAGAGACCGAUAGCGAACAAGUACCGUGAGGGAAAGAUGAAAAGAACUUUGAAAAGAGAGUUAAACAGUACGUGAAAUUGUUGAAAGGGAACCGUUUGAAGCCAGUCUUACUUGCCUGUGAUCAAUUUUUGCUUCGGCAUGAAUGCACUCUCGGGUAUGGUAGGCCAACGACAGUUUGGAAUGCGAGAAAAAAAUAGAGGAAAUGUGGCCUUCGGGUGUUAUAGUCCUUUAUAAAAUAUCGUGUUCUGGACUGAGGAUCGCAGCAAAAAUGUGGGCAGGUGGAUUUCUGUGGUAACUGUCGGUUAGGACAACUUGUUGACCUAGUCUUCCUUAGCCUCACUAUUUACCUUGCUUCUAAUUUGCUUAGGUCGUUGGCAUAAUGGCUUUAAAUGAC